CUUGAGUCUAAGUGAAGGUGCGCGAGCUGCUCAAGCUACAGCAUAACGUGGAAACUGUGAAGGUGGAAUGGAAAUGUGUUUUAAGGUGGAAUUAAAAUUAAAAGCUUCAUACACUGCAGGAAAAUUAGUGAGAAGUGCAGUGUUGAGUCACCUGGUAAAAGGAGGGUUCAGUAAACCAGUGCUUCCACUGCAGCAGAGUCCUGGAGCCGGAGCCGGAGCUGAAGUCAGGCAGCAGGGGGUGGCGUUCCCCCGUCUCGUCCCGCAGCGGCACUCUCUCCUGAGUUCCCAUGUGGAAGAUGAGUGUGAAGAUAGCACCAACACCCAACACGAUCAGCGCCAGAUCCUGAAAAAUCAGAGUUAAAUUCACCACUGAUUCAGAACUCAUCAUUACUCACCACUGUAUAUUAAGUAUAUAAUGUAUAUGUAUAUAAAUAUAAUCCAGUCAAAGACAGGUGUGGUCCCUGGGGUUGUUUGAAGGUAAUAUUAAAUAAUAGUAUAGAUAUAGUGUAGAAUUGUAUUGUACAUUGUAGAACAGUACAGUAUAGCUUAUGGUAGCAUAGUAUUGUAUAGCAUACCAUUGCUGUCCAAUUAAAGACAAGUAAUUAAUUUUUUGUAGAUUUUGUUUUAUUGUAGAAAUAAAAAAUAAUAAUUUUAACAUAAAA